UUUCCACCCAAACCCAAGAAGCCCAGUUUCUCGAAGCAGCGGUUUAAGCAGCAGGUGAGUCGAGCCGCCCUGGGGGCCUGUGCCGAGCCCCUUGGAGUGAAUAUGCGGGUUCCACAUGC
rnacentral:snoRNA from 1 species